GACGAACGCUGGCGGCGUGCCUAAUACAUGCAAGUCGAACGCAGUUGCGAACGGGUGAGUAACGCGUUGGUAACUGCCUGGUAGCGGGGGAUUACUAUUGGAACCGAUAGCUAAUACCGCUUACUACCAGAUGGACCUGCGUUGUAUUAGCUAGUUGGUGGGGUAACGGCUCACCAAGGCAACGAUACAUAGCCGACCUGAGAGGGUGAUCGGCCACACUGGGACUGAGACACGGCCCAGACUCCUACGGGAGGCAGCAGGAGGGAAACUGCGGGAAUGGACGGAAGUCUGACCGAGCAACGCCGCGGGAGUGAAGAAGGUUUUCGGGUCGUAAAGCUCUGUUGUAAGAGAAGCGGUAUCUUACCAGAAAGGGACGGCUAACUACGUGCCAGCAGCCGCGGUAAUUC
rnacentral:rRNA from 1 species